GACGCGGCCACCAAGCCACCACGCAGGGGAAGGGCGGCGGAACCCACAGCUCGAGCUCAGGUGAUUCUGACGCAGGCGCUCCACGGAAACCCUCCGAGAAUUCUGGGGGCCGUGGGGCCGCCCAGCUCAGUCCGGAGCUCCGGAACUCGGGGAAGAGCGUCCGGGAGCCGGGUCUGGGUUCCGCACUCCGUCCGCCCCGAUGGCAGAGAGUGAGAUACGGACGCCCCGGGACGAGGGGCUCAGGACCCGGCUACGGACACCUGCCUCCAUCUCCCUCCAGGUAUUUCACCCCAAUAAUAAAAUAAUAAUGCCAGAAGCUGAAGAGUAAUCAGGACCUCAGGAUUACUCAUAGAUAACACAAGUGUGAAGAGAGGGGAGAGCAGCAAAGGCUGAGCUGCGUGUGCCUGGUCCCUUCCAGACUUUCCAGAUAACUUUGCCCCACGGAGGACAAGGAAAGCCAAAAGAGAGAAGCCAGGAUUGUUAGUCUUGGAAAAUGCCUCCAUAUAGAAACAUGAGCCGGAGAAUAAAUCACUUGCCUCUCUAACCAGUUGGAUUUGGUCCGUGAGUUCCUAGUUUUGUUCACCUGACUUAGUCCCUGACUUUUAAAGUCAAGUGCAUCAACAUGCUGCCAGUACUUUGAUGAACAUCUAUACAGGAUCCAUCUCUACAGCAGUGAAUUCCACCUGGGGUAAAGUAUGCAUGUAGGUUAGGAUGCUACAGUGGGACUCUGUCUGCUUUUUCUGUCUGUUUCUGCUAAGGCCUCCACACAUUAGAUGGUCAGUACUCUUUGUUCUAUGGGAAGGGCUAGAAUACCUAAACAGGACUUUCACGGAGGGAGCAACAAACCAGUUUUGUGGCUCUCAGCAAACAUCCAUCUCAAAGGUGAGUUUGGAAAUAAUGGAGAGUAUGUCAGUGUGUUUGUGUCUCAGGCCUACUUCCCACGCCUAUGGGGGAAGGGUGGGACUUAUCUCUCUCUUCCCUCAAGCCUGCUAAGAGGAGAUUAGACUAUAUUUGAGAUAAAUACCUCCAGCACAGUGACAGCCAUGCAGCUCAUGCCUGUGAAAUCAAAAGGCAAGAGGAUGCGGCUGGCUGGCUGCUCUGAGGGCAGAGAGAAAAGACCAGACAGCUCUUGGAACAGACUGUUCUUCCAGUGACGAUGGGGACAAAGAUGCAUGAGUGUAUCUCCAGGACUGGAUGUGAGCUGCAUGGGAGAAAAAGAGUGCAGGCCUGCAGCCCGGGAAAACCCAAAAGGAUGCCAUAAACCCAACAGGAAGAUGGGUUGUCAGGGCCCCAGGAGCUGAGAAAGGAAUAAAAAUGACAGAGAGAGAAAAGUACAUUGUCCACAUCAUAAAUAACACAGCUGAAUGUGCCCAAUGAGGUCCUCAGAGAACCCACAGAAGUGCCCAUGGGAACAGUUCUCUCUGGGACUCAAACCCAGGGAGAGGUGCUUUUAAACAUGCAAAGAGAGGGAACCAUCAUCAUAUUACAUUGCAGUGUCCACAUGAAUAAGACCCUAACUUACCUCAUAUUUCUCCUCCUUCCUCUGCUUUAAUCCAGGAGGAGCCAGAGACCUCUCAGUAAGUGAAGAAGAGGGGAAAUAGGUAAAAAGCCACUAUUCCCCAUGUUAGAUGAGGAAAUAGGAACAUUCUCCUCCUCUACCCAACACCCACUGUAGCUUUUAGUGGCUGGAGUCAGGAGAGAAAAGUUUUCAUGUUAAAUGAAUUUCAGAGGUUUGACUAUGACAUAGAAAUGGAUAUUUUAAUUACUGAAAUAAAACUGUUUUGUAAUUAGAGGUGACUGGAAGACAUUUUAUCCUCAGCAGAAGAAUAGAUAAGGAUAGGACCUUCCCUCCCCCUUGGACCCCACCAAGGUUUUAUCCAGAGGCAGAGGAAGAAGUAACCCUUUAUGUGAGUUUGAAUGGGCAGAAGAAGAAAAGGAUGAAGUUGUCUUCUAAUUGCACUCUAUGAAUGUUGCUUUUUUGUUAACAUAAAUGUCACAUAUAUUUUUAGCUGGUGUAACAAAAAAAAAAACAUCUCAAGCCGGCUUGCAUAAUAACAGCUUUGGGCACAGUCUGAUCAAGGCCCCGGUUCUGUUUGCUAGUGAUCCUCCUGAUUCUGCCCUCUCUCCAUGCUAGUUUCUUCCUCAGAUUGACAUUCCUCUUGGUCACCAGAUGCCUACAAUCAGCGGGUGCAACUCUCUGCUCCCUGCUCACUUCUGAAGGGGAGAGCAUGGAUACCAACCACAGAACAAAGCCCUGCAGUCUCCCGCUGAGUAGAACACCCACGAAGAAGUGUUGGCCAUUUCCCUAUUGCCAGGGAAAUAUCAUGUAUUGGUUGGAUUAGGCCUGUAUUAAUCCAGUUAAUGGAACAUAGUUAAACUAUCCCAGACCCUCCAUAGACACUAGAGAAAAGGUGAAUCCAACCCAAAUGUAAGACUGCUACUCAAUAGGACAGAAAAGGCAUGGAUGUCAGUGAAAUGGGAAAAAAAAUGUGUGCCAAAGGAGAUCAGGAAGGACUGAAUAGAAGACAUGGCCUUUGAAUUGAAGCCUUUAAUGAGGAAAGGGGAUUGACAUUGUAUGAGGGCCAGGGUGGAGAGCGGGUUGUGAAGAGGAUAGGGAAAAUGCAAGGACACUGCGGAUAUAAGAAUUAAUGGGAGAAUCAUGGGCCACAAAGCAGCAGGAUUAUAUUACAGAGAUUGUAAGUAGUGUUUAUUGAAGCACAGGGUACUGGGGAGGUGGAGGAAAGAUGAAACUGUUAAGGAAUUUAGACACAGCAUGUAGUGGUUGGCAGGAAACAGAUGACACUCUCAAACAGGGUAGUUGAGGAGAGCUAAUAAAGGGACCAUUUACCAAGGUGUAGUUAGGAUUAAGAGAAAGCAAACUGGGAUGGUGCUGUGCUAUGGGCUAGCAACAGCAGGAAGUCAUUUCUGUCCCUAGGUCUGAAGAGGGAAGCAGGGGAGCCAACACCAAGGAACCAGAGAUCUUAGAGUCUGAAAGUCUGCAUGAUAGAAGCCAUGGCCUUUAGUAGAGGGAUCUUGCCUACUCUUAGCAGCCUGGCUUGGAGGGGCCUGGGGAAAUAAUACCCCAACCUCUCUCCUCUUCUUCAAUAUUGAUGACUUCCAUUGGUUAAUAUCAAACUGGAAGUUGGAGAGAAAGGGAGUCUAUCUAUACAAGUCAGCACCCUGUAGCCCAGAAGAGAGUAAAAAGGGGGUAAAAAGCAAUUUCCGAGGGACAAACAGAAAACACCCAGCACAGAAGGAGGAACAAACAUUUGGAGGAACAAACAGAAAAUAUCAGAAAACAUUUUAAUCCUGGGUCCUGGGACGUCAUGGAAGGUUUUGAAGUUAGGAGCACCGCCAUCCUCUAGGGGGAGCUCAAGCAUUUCUCUCCACUCAUCCCAAAGGCGGUGCAUCAAAAGAUCAGGGUGAAACUGACUUCAAGGAAAGAGCCCUCGGCUAGAGGAAGAAGCCUGGAGAAGUAAAGGGAUUGCUCCUGGAAUUGGAAAUCUACCCUUUGCACUUCUAUUUACUGCAUUUGGAUUGAUUUGCAAGAAUAACCAUUAAAAUAAUCAAAGCUAAAACAAACCUUUCAUUGGAGAACAGUCUUCCCCCACACCAUCCCAUAGAAAUACUGUUCACUAUAUCUGGUUCAGGAGGACUGACUCUCCCAACUCCUUUCUCCAGGAGUGGAUACAUGAUCCAGGACUGGCCAGAAUUCUACAUCAAGCAGCCCGUAGGCACGGAGGAGAAUACAAAUUAGAGGAUCAGCCAGCAAACUUGAUGGGUGAUGAGAACUGUUCAAGACAACCCUGAAGAUGUUGCUUAUUUGAUAAGGUUGCUGGUGCUGCUGCUACUGAAGAUAGAACAACAGUUAAGCUUUCUGUGUAUGUGUGUGUUUUCCAUCUGUUUUUCUUUGUAAUCAGUCGGUAUAAAAGUGAGCAGUGAAGAAUCGGGGGGAAAUAAAUGUACUUUUUAAACAUGUUAAAUUUGGAAAAUAUCUAGAGCUCAGAAGAAAAGUGUAAACUUAAGUUAGAGAUUUGAGAGUUAGUGAAGCUCUAAGAGGGGCAGAGUGUAAAGGUGAGGGCAACAAGUAUAUGUGCACACACAAUCACACACAUACACCGGUGGCAGGCAAAGAAAGAUUAAAUCCCUUCUUAGCAAAACUUCAAUUCUGAGAAGAUUUUUCCUAUCUGAAUUUGUUGAACAAUAUUAGAGAUUUUUUUUUUCUAACCACUUCAUAAAUAAUAAAACUGAGCAACAGAGAGGAUGGGUGGCUGACUUGUUAAGGAACUCCUAAUUAGUGCUAAAGAGUCUUAAAACCUAGGUUUCUGGGCUCCCAAUUCCAGGUUCCUUGGAAGUCAAGAGAAGACAAAAACAUACGAUCAUUUACUUUAUCCCUAACUUCACUUGAAUAAAACAUUCCAUAAGAUUAAGGUUAAUGCUUCCUUUGUCUGACACAUCUAUUUAAGCCAUAUGUCUGGUUAGUUUCAGCACGUUACUAGGCCAGUUCAGCAAUGCUCGAAAGCAAUUCAAUUUUCAAAGAACAGUUCUCGAGAUACAUACAAUAAAGCUCAGAUUAACCAGGAAUCAUCGAACCAGAGUUGUUUUACUUUCUACUUAUAAAGAACAUAAGAAAGCACUCUUGAUCUAAGGCAUGACACUGAGCUGGCUCACACCUGCUCUGAUCUUUAUUACUUUCUGUAUGUAAAAUUCUCACAGUACAGUAACUGUGAGGAAAAUAAUAAUUUUGUGCACAAUACUUUAGGUAGGAAGGAAACUAUAUUAAUAAUAAUUCAAUUUAAGUAGAAAUAUAAGUAAACUUAAUUACAGGCUUUUGAAAAUCCAAGCCUAUUUAUUUUAUCCAGUUUUAAAAUUCAAUUCCUAUUUAUUAACUAUUUAAACCUACUCUGUGGAGCAUACUUAUACCCCUCGAAAUUAUCAGAAUUAAGAAAAAUUCAGUAAUUCCUGUGUCAAAAAUAUUCUGUAAAAGUAAACUGUUCAACAGAGAAAAAAAAAAACAAAAAUACUGCAUGAAGCACAUAUGGUAAACAAAAAAACUGAAGUGAUUAUCAUAAUCAUGAAUUUUAAGAAACUGAAAAUGAUUAUCAAGGUAAACAAUAUAUGAAAUAUAACAAAUCCAAACAAGAUCAUGUACCUACAAAACCAAUUUUUCUAAAUACCAUCCUAACUUUUAAUAGCAGAAAAUAACAUUGUUUACUGCCUAAAACAUUGUACAGAAGAGAGAGCUCUAAAAUACUAAUCACAAGCCAAUAAAUCUUACCUUCUACAACAAAUUGCCCACUUCUGAAAUUUGUUUUCAUUACUACUUUUCUAUGUGCACUAACUUAAAGAAUUGCAAUGGUACAGUAAAAGAUACUUUGCAACUAGAAACAAAAUUCUAGAUUGUUUUCCAAAGUUGGGUACUUGCAUAUUAAAUUUUCUCAAAAGGAGACCCACCUGUGUAAUGUUCUUAUCUAUCUGGAACAGGGGUUGGUAAACUUUUUCUGUGAAGUGCCAGACAGUAAAAUAUUUUAGGUUUUGUGAAUUAUACAGUCUGUCAUAAUUAUACAACUCUGCCCUUACAGUGAAAAAUCUGCCACAGGUAUUACUUAAAUGAAUGGGCAACGCUGCAUUCCAGUAACAACUUAUUUCCAAAAAUAGACAACAGGCUAGAUUUGGCCCAUAAGCUGUAGUUUGCUGAUCCUUCACCUAGAAAACCAAAUUUUCUCUCAAUUUCUCAUUUCCAGGAAUGUGUAUUUAUUUAUUCAGGAAAAAAAAAUCUACUAAUGGUAAAAACUGGUGUUAGAAUGAUAUACUUUAUAAAUAGAAAAAAACUACAGAAUGUUUUCUCUAGAGACCUGUAAGAGUGAAGAUCUGACUAAUAAAUGAAGGGAAAAAGGUCUCUUCAGAGAUGUUUGAGUCUAGCAUUUGACAAAGUCUAAAUGGAUUAUUUCUUCUAUUUUAGCUAAGCAAGGUCACCCAAUAAGGGUUAAAUAAUUUUGACACCCAUAGGUAGUUCUAAAACUAUUCCAUAUUAGGGCAGAAACACAGUGAUAAAAUGAAAUCUUUCAUUAAAUAUAUUAACAUAGUUCUAUAUUUUGGCUGAUGUUCUGUACCACCUAAGACAAUGCUCCACCAACAAGGUUGAAAGACAUUUAUGGUAACAGCAACAUAAUUACUGCAACUCUUGGUGUAUAAUGACAACUGUAUUAACGAGAUAUGAUUUACUCCCUGGAUAACUCCAAGAACAUAGGACACAGAAUAAAGAAGUAAACAUCUCAAACCUUGAUAAAGCAACAACUACAAACUUUCCUUUGCCACUCUCUUAAGUGCACCUUUACUUCCCUGAAGUAUCUGCUCCCCUAGCCACAUGGGCCCAGAAACUCAGAGGUUUCAUAUGUAACUGUGCAUCAGAAAAAAGAGCCUGGGAUGGAAAAAAAGAUGCCUGGGUGCAGAGGUGUGUGCAUAUAUGUGUCUGCCUGCCUGUCUUAAAAGUUUAUGAUUGCUUUGAUAUUUAAUAUAAAGCUUGGAACACAAUCAGACUGAGAAAUAUAAUAAGUAUAGUACACCUAAAGCCAUCUGAUAUCCCUCUAAAUGAAAAAAACAAUUAUUUAAAUAUUGGUAAAUAAAAACGAAUAGGAUACACAUUACCCAUGAGAUAAACUUGUCGAAAAAGUUUAAUAUGAAGCUAAUCAGUAGCAAUCAAUCAGACAAAUCUGGAAUGUAGAACCCUUCAUAAGACAAUUCACCUGGAUUUUUCAUAAGUCAAUGUCAUAAAAAAUAAAGGCAGGGAAUGAAUACAGGUUGGAGACUAGACUCAUAACACACAUACUGUCAAUAAUUAUUUCUUGGAUUAAAAAAGCUAUAAAGGAAAUUUUGGGGGCAACCAGAGAAAUCUGAAUACUAACUGUCUGUUAGAUAAUAUGGUAUCAAUGUUAAAUUUCUUGGAUAAUAAAGUAUGAUUAUAUACGGGAAUUCUUAGGUACAUGCUGAAGUAUUUAGGGAUAAAACACUGGUAUCUGCCAUUUUCAAACGGCUCAGAAAAAAGUUUUAUUAAUAUACAGAUAAAGUAGUGUCAUAAAAUAUUAAGUGGUAAAUCCAGGUGAAAGAUUUUCAUGUAUUAAUUUUUCAACUUGUCUGUAGGUUUGAAUUUUUCAAAUUUAAAAUUUUGAGGGAAGGGGGUUUAUCAGGAUAAAGUCUUAGUUUGGCUCCUUCUUGUGGGGUAUAAACAGAUACUUACUUUCCAUUUCAGCUUCCCUUAGUUUAUUACUCUUUCAGUACCAGACUAUUAUCAAUCCCUUAGUUUAUUCCUCUUUUAGUACCAGAUUAUAAUCACUGAGGCCUCAUUUGGUGAAUUCUAUCAAGGGUCAUCUUGGGAGUCACCUCCUUCAGGCAAUUUUUCUUGACUUUCCAGGGUAGGCUAAGGACCCUGUUAAGACAGUUUGUGUUUUACUACCAUGUAGAAAUUUCCAACUACUUUUUUUUGUCCUUUACUAGGCUGCAGGUUCUGGAGGUUCCAGCAUAGUUCUGACACAUGGUAGGCCUUCCAUAAAGGCUUGUGGAACAUUUACCAUCUAGGGCUAGGUGGUAAGGAGCACCAGAGAGAGAGGCAUAGUUUGAAAUCCACAGAUACAGGGAGGAAGAGGCAUUUUUAUUGUAUCAGGCCUAAGGCUAGGCAAUUUAUGGUUACCAUUUUAUUCAGGUAGGUAAUUUUUAAAAAGAAGAGUUCUAGCUGUCCCUCUAUGUAAAUUUAAUAUCUUAAUGUUAGCGAGUCACUUGGAACACUUUGCUUUACAUCAUGCGGCCUCUGCUUAUUAGUCGUAGAGAAGUUAUUUAAACUCUAAGGCAGUUUUCACACCUGUAAAACAGGGACAGUUCUUACUGUGCCUGUUUCACCACAUUUUAAAAAAUAUCAAAUGAAAAUAUACUUAAGUAAAUACGGAAAAAACAGGCAUUAAGUGGAAAGUCUGCACUGUUUUCUCCCUUAAUUCAUCCUCUCUGCAGCUUCUCAAGGUUCCUCUAGUCCUUCGCUGGCUGGAGACCAAAUGGAAAAGAUAGGUCUCUGUCUACUUCAAGGCUAACCUUAGGUAGCUCUGUAAAUUUUGGGGUUUACAUCUUUAAUGCCUCCAAUAUAUUGAGAAUGCGCCAUGAAUUCUCAGUAAGAUUUAUAGCUUAUAAGGCUUUUAGAAAGUUUGCUAUUUACUAAAAACCUGAAAGAAAAUGUUAUUUUAGUCAAUUAUUGAAAAUUACAACAUUUAUUGGUUCAACGAUUAAUCAAUAGUAUACUUUUCCUACUUCUACUGAAACUUAACAGAACAUUUCUUAUCUAUGAUGCAAUUUUUAACUAAAUUGUCUAUACAAAUGGAAAAAAAAAACACCCCAAACCAUAAAUACCACAGAAACUUUUUAAAUUUACACAGUGAUUUCCCCUGAAACCACUGCACAACCAAGCAAAAAAAAAAAAAAAAAAAAAAAAUCAAAGCAAGGCAAAGUUCAGGUUAAGAAGGCAAGCAACUGGCUAUACAUACUGAAAACUUGUCUUCAGGCUACUAACUUACUUUCCAAAUUGGACAAAAGUCAAAAUGCUAAAUUUAUUCUUAGCUUUGAAAAUGCAAUUUCCUGGUUCUGUUAGAUGAGUUUCAAAUCACAUGCUUUUAGGAAACAUGCAAUAUAAACAUGUUUAAAGGCAUAUACUCAAAAAUUUAUAGUAGUUUCACAAGUUCUAAGCUACAAUUUUAUUCCCCAUAUUAACUAUCAGAGUUAGCACAGAGACAAGCUCACAGAUUGCAUCUAAUCUUUGGUUGCAAUUGUUCCACCUGUUAUCUAGCCCUCUAAGAAAUAAAACAACAACGACAACACUUUGAGGUCUCAAUCCACUUUACGAAAAGAAAGCUUUAUGAAAAAGCCUGAACAAUGAAUUCAAACAUUAAGGAGAAAAUGAGAAACGUUAGGUGUGUGAAGUAGGAAAUGUUAAUUUCAUGCACUUAGGAACACACACUCACACCCCACAGUAGUAGAAGCAGUAGAAGAGGAAAACACUACAUGUGUAGGGGUAGAAAUAUUUGUUACAUCAUGAUGCUGGCUGGCGAUGGAGGGUUGCCGCCUUAGAGCCCCCUGAAUGGAACUUCCACUCUGGAAAGCAUUCACUACAUCCAUCUGCAAGGAAUCAGAGAUUGUGACAGCUUGCUCAGCAAGAGAGAGAGAGAACAAGAGAAAGGACCAUUCCAUCUAUCAACAUAUAAAAAGAAAAAGGCACUUUUUACACAGCAUAUAGGCAAGAAUAGCAUUUUGAGAUGAAGUGGGGGAUGGGGGAGCUAGGAAAAAAGGAGCUUAGGGGCAUAUAGACACAUUCUUUCAUAAUCAGUUAAAAGUCUCACUCAUUCCAGGCACCAGUAUUACUUUUCAAGAGAAUACAAUUUGUGGGUUGGGAAGGCUAGAGAGGAAGUUUAAGGAGCACACUCGAACCUCCUCCCCAGGUCAAAAAGCCCUGGCUCCCAUCAUCUCUCCUACCUCUCUACCAGGCCCAUACCUGUGUUUGGAUUCUGUUCAGACCUCUAAACCACAAGAUUUGGCCACGCCGCAACUCCCUUUCAGCGUGAUCAAUCUCUUCAACAUCCUCUGCUAAUUCCUCCUCAGGUAUUUCUUCCUUUUGUGUUCCAUGACCAGCUUCUUUGAGGAAUUUUAAACGGCUAGUUGGAAUUGUUGAAAUAAGCUACAACACAGGGGAAUGAACUUAGAAAUAAAUCAUAUCAAGUAAAGGUAAGCUGAUCAACUGUAAUACUAAAGGUAUUAAAAGUGGUGAGAGUAUCCGACUAUCUUUACCAAUGAAGUAAUGGGAUCCUGUUGAUUAGUCUUUCUCUCCCAGAGCAAAAUACAUUCUUCUCUUAGCUACACAAAAGAUUUGAGUUUGAAGGAUAAAAAGUUUUCCUAAAUGGAAAUUAACCUGAUUACAUUUUUCAUAUUUUCAUCAGGACAUUCAAGACAGUACAUUGUAAAACCAUGCUCUGAUAUAUGUAUUUACUUAAAAAGUCCUAUUUAUUUUGAAUACAAUGAAAAUGGCAGGUGGUCUUACUAGAUGCAAAACACGUUUACAUUUCAUUAAUGCUGUCAGAGUUCAAUGAGAAAAAAUGUAUAAAAUUUUUAAAAAAAUCAUUAAGGUUACACUGAAAAUAGUUUUGUUACAUAUUUUUUUUAAAAUGCAACAGUUUAAAAUUGGAUUAGUACUGAUUGAUGACGCCAAACAAAAACAGAUGCCCUAGAAAACACAAAGGAUACAAGAAACACCAAUACACGUAUAUUAGCUUAUGUGUUAACAUCCAUUCUCUAAGGCAGCAGUUGGGUUUAUCAGGGAGAAACAAGCAUGUAGUCAGCUACAGAAUUCUGCUUGGAGAACUUCUAGUACACCCACCUCAUUUCACCAAGGUGAAAUAGGCUUCAAGGCACAUAAAGUGACUUGCUCAUGGAGUGACUAGGAACCUAGGUCUCCUGACCACCAAAGGCAGUGCUUGUUCUACCAUGGUACACUUAGUAUGGGUCUUACUUAAAAGAUGAUCUCUAUUAAUGAGGUACUCAAAAUAGAUAAGAAACCUCAGAAUCUAGAAACAUAGUUAAGAAAAAGAAGAGACACAAAGAUGUAAAGAUUGGGCUACAUUUAAGGAAAACCUGAAAGUCUGGUUUCACUGAUUUGCAGAAUGACAAUAAAUUAGCUCAUGCAAAUUAUAUGCCAUAAUAUAUAUUAACCUUCAUCUAUGAAAAUGUUAGAUUUUCUAUAAAUUAGUUUUAUAGUAAUGGGCUUAAAAUGAACAAUGCAUAAAUCACUGUCACAUUUAAAAAAUAAUGACAUGCAUUUGCAAGUAAGCUGCCUAUAGUAAAUAUGAGGUAUAUCUCUUAUUUCAGGCACUUUAUUUCAUAUAUACACUGUUAAAGCUAUUCAAUUCAAAUCUAAAACAUCAUUUUGUGACCCCUUUUUCCAGGUAACAUUAUUUUUAUAAAAACAUUCUCUAAGGUCAGUUUUUCCUAUGCUGCAUAUUGGAUUAAAUUACAGAACAAAAUGACAAUGUAUUUUUUUUUUUUUUUUUGAGAUGAAGUCUCGCUCUUCUCUCCCUGGCUAGAGUGCAAUGGCGCGAUCUUGGCUCACUGCAACCUCUGCCUCCUGGGUUCAAGCGAUUCUCCUGCCUCAGCCUCCCAAGUAGCUGGGAUUACAGGCGCCUGCCACCAUGCCCAGCUAAUUUUUAUACUUUUAGUAGAGACGGGGUUUCACCAUGUUGGCCAGGCUGGUCUCUAACUCCUUACCUCAGGUGAUCCACCCGCCUCGGCCUCCCAAAGUGCUGGGAUUACAGGCGUGAGCCACCGCACCCGGCCAUGUAUUUUUUACAUUGUUGUAAAAAAUUUUUUUCUGAAAAUGUAAAAAUAGGUUAUAGAGUAAAAGAUACAGAUAUUAGCAUCCUAACCAGUUAUAAAUACAUCAUUUUUAAAAACCGCUACAAAACUUCUAAAAAACAAGUUAAAAAAACACAUAAAAAGUUAGGAUAGUAUUUUAUAGUACAGGCAUAAUCAUAAUGAACAAGUGACAUACUGGAACUAAUACGACAUUAAAAAAACUUAUCUUUGAAUGCCCUCUCUUUACUCACCACAUUAACCAUUUAGAAUCAAGUAAUGAAACUGUUAAAGAAAAUACACACUAGAAAUUAAAAAAAAAAAUCACUUUAGGUUUAAACAAAAACUGAUGAAAUUUUUACCUGGCCCCAGAGUAAUGUUCCCAUUCCUAGGAAUAUUGACCAUAGCCACUGUUCUAUUGAAAGUUCUGAACAACUGAAAGGUUUUCCACCAAACUGCACAAUUAUUAUCUGGAGGAAUAAUCAAGAGUAAAUUUACUUAAAUCUUAAAUUUUAAAAUUCAUAUACUUAAAAAAAUAUCAAAUUUAUGUCCUCUAAAACAAGGUGAACAACCACUAUUCUGAUGAAUUGUAUUAUAUUAGUCACAACUGAAAAUAAGACAACUGAAAUAGACCUUUCCUCUUUCCCCUCCAGUCCACUUUGCCUCUUAGAAAAAAAGACAACUGAAAUAAAGUAAAAUCUCUGCCCAAUAUUUUUGAUGCAUGCGUAUUUCAUGUUUAAAUUACGCUUACUAAAAAGUAAAAUUCUUAUGACCAAGAAUAAUAAUUUUAUACUGUUUCCAAUAUAACCCCAAGCAACUACAUUCCCCUGUAUUUAGUACAACUCUUCAAAUAAUCUGUGCCUUUCUCAAAAUAUAGUACUCUUUUGUAGAAAAGACUGUAUGUUACUGGAAAAAUGCACAAUAUUAAAAAAAUUCCACAUAGCUGUUUAUUUCUAGUUAACAUUUAGACAUACUAAGAUAAACACAGACUAUAUGAGAAGAAAGGCAACUUGGAAAGUUCUAUGAAAUAUGGGCUAACUCAGGUGAGGUGAUCUCAGAUUUGCUCUCCUUUAUGAAAAGAGUGAGGUCUGAUGAUGAAUAUAAAUUCAUAAUACAGUGCUUAUGUUUUGCUUGUUAUUCUAAAAGGCCUAAAAUAGUGUGCAUGGAAAUAUUAAGAAUUAACUGGGGUUGGGUGUGGUGACUCAUACCUGUAAUUCUAGCACUUUUGGAGGCUGAGGUGAGAGGACUGCUUGAGCCCAGGAGUUCAAGACCAGCCUAGGCAACAUAGCAAGACCCUGUCUUAAUUAAAAAAUAAAUAAUUUUUUAAAAAAAGAAUCAAUUAACAAUAUUCACCCUCCUGUGAGUCUGACAGGCCUCUCUUUGAUAUGGCAGUUAACUAGUUCCCAAAUAUUAAAAUCAAAAAUAAUUUUGGUAGUUAACAUUUUAAAACCUUAAAGUUACAAUUCCUUUCUUUUUAGCUCUACUUUAUUCAAAUUCAAGUCAUUUUCACUUCUCGGUUCCACUAUUUUUUAAGUUAAUUUGUGCACUUGUACAGAUAGAUUUCCAACUGCUUUGUUAGUAGCCCAAUUAGAUUACAACUGAUUUGACAAUCAGGUCUGGAUUUUAGUAGAGAUAUAAAACUGAAGUAAUUUUCUUUUAUAAAUCAAGAAAAUAAUGAGCAUGAAGAAUUCAAUAUGUAUUUGUACAAGUGAUCUUAAUUUUUUUUAAAAUUUAAACCUGAUCUUUUUUUUGGUAUAAUGUGGGAUGUAAAAAGAAUACUAAAAUGCUGGGAAACAAUUAAUUGAUUGGCUGACUUUGUUUCCUAAGAAAUAAUAUCUUUCACUUUACAGUUGGAAGAAAUAAAACUGUUUGUCUAGUUGGUUGUGGCAUUUACUUCUAAGAACAGGAGAUUCAGUUCCCAUAUUCUUUAACAUAUACCUUAAAUCACCAUGAUAUUAUAUAUGUCACCAAGGCAACAGUUCCACACAUGUUCCACACAAGUGAUUGCUAGAACAAGCUGUUUACCUAAUGUCUCCCAUUUAACAGGCAAAUUUGAAACUAUCUUUUCCAAUUACCCACCUGUACCACAAAAGUGCCUAAAACAAUUGUGCAGAAGAUGGCAUUGUUAAAGAUUCCUUCGAAUACAUUUCUUUCACCAUGAAUUUUCCGGG
rnacentral:lncRNA from 10 species